rnacentral:tRNA from 1 species
GGGGUUAUCGCCAAAUGGUAAGGCACAGGAUUUUGAUUCCUGCACUGUUGGUUCGAGUCCAACUAGCCCUG